ensembl:lncRNA
GCGUCCUUCCGGGCAAUGUUGCUCCAAUAAAGAAAGUGAAGCAGGCGCCCUGGUCGGCCCCCUGCAGCUUCACUCUUUUACCUCUGGUCGGUCGGGACCUGCAAAGCACUCGUCAGUGUCAGCAGAUUCUACAGAAUACAAAAGUCUUCGUACACAGCUUUCUACAAAACAGUUCUCCUCGUCGCGCGGCCCUACAGGCGCUUAUCCGAGGGCGGCCGAGACGACCACGGAGUCGCCCCGGAGACCCGCCUCAACGUCACCAGGGUCCCCCGUCCCUCCCAGCGCCAGAGUCCACGAAUCACAGGCCCCCGCGCCGUCGUCUCCCACCGCCUCCCUGCGUCUCUCCAGCCGAUCCCUCCCCCCCUGCCCCGCCGCCUCUCCCCUCUGUCCCAACACCCGGGGGUCCCCUCCCCCCACCCACCUCUCCCUUCGCUCCACCUUCACUCUGACGCCGUUGACCUCCGUCGACGUAGCUCUUCUUCCCGAGGUUGACCCGGAGACUCUUCCCCGGCGGCGUCGGCGGGCGUAGAGGGGCCGGCGUCCCGGGCCGCCUCGUCCCUCAGAGGGUCCGCGGACUCGGCCCUCUCACCCGGGCGAUGGCGCUGCACGCACCCCCUGCCCCCUGUCCCCCCGGUUUCAUCCGAUCCAGAGGAGCGCCCCCCCACCGUCACCUCACCGCCAACCGGGGGGCCUCCCUCCCACCUCCCUUCUUCCCCCGAGGUACAAACCCCCAGCCCCAGUCCUCCGAAGCGGUCAUCGCCCUCACCCAUCCCGCCCAGCGGCCUCACAGACCAGGGAGGCAGGCCAGUCGGCCAGGGGGGGCCGGAGGUCAGGCGGCUCGUCCGUGAACCACCCGCCCGCUCCGGCUCCUUUCACACCGGGGACCGCUGCUGAACCCUGGCGGGUCCGUGCGUCCACACCUGAUCCAGAGGCUCCGUUGGUUUCCCGUCCCUCUGAACUCGCGCGCGGGGGCCGAGGUUCGAGCCUUCCAUCCUAUCCAGAUCUACACUGUUUCCAGGACGAUCCCCCGAGCCGUGAUAAUGGCAGACCCGGAGGCUUCAUCCAAACAGACGAGGAGACAUCUGGAACUGGAGACGCCGAGGAUGACAUGUCUAUCGACAGCCUGGGACUGACGCUGCAUGACGGAGCCUCCUCCGAUGAAGACGAGAUGGAGGAGGACGGUGGGGGGUCAGGCGAGUGGCGGUGGAGGGAUGAGGACCUCGUCCGCGCCUCUAACGCAACAUCAGAAGGUUCCCUGGUUCCUGAGGGCUCUGGAUCAGAACAAGAGCCAGACGCAGAGACAGGCGAGGCCGGGUUCCAGUCAAAGCCGUCCAGGGCGCUGCAAGCCUUGGCCCAGACAGCUUCCUCUGGUCAGGAGCGGCGUGGCGGCGGCCUGGAUGGGUUCCUGACUCUGGGUUUGGACCUCCAGUCCACCAGCUACGGCGGUCCUCCGGAACACACAGAGCCCAACGAGGAGAACCAGCGGGACCCAAUGCAGCCGCCGGGCCCAGACACAUUCCACCCAGGAUCACCACGGUACCCCCUCUCUGCUCGGUCCACCUCGGCCCGGCGCCCCGCUCCGGCAGAGGAACUCUCCCCCCUCCUCUCUCUCUCCCGUCUCCCUCCCCCCUCCCUCUCUGGCCCGUGCUCCGGGGGCGUGUCCUUGCGGCCCGUGUCCCGCGCCGCCCAGGAGAUCCAGGACAUCAGCGGUGUGGACCGGGCGAGCGGAGAGGACCCCAGGGAGGACGCGGACGCGGAGGCCCUGACCCGCCUGGAGGAGGAGCUCAGACUCAUGGUCCAUGAUACAAGCGCUCGGCCCGCGUUAAUAAGGAGCGCAGGCCACGGAGCACAAGGCCAGCGGAGGACUAAAGAUCUGACAUGGGGCGGAGUCAGUGAGGAGCAGAAACAGGAGGAAGAGGAAGUGGCGAGAGAUCACCAGAGUGUCUUGUCACUGCCUUGAAGCACGCCGAGUCAGAUAUGGAUGAACCGGCAUGUGGAUGUAUGCAUGUGGGUGUAUGCAUGUGCACACACACACAGUCACACACAGUCACACACACACACACACACACACACACACACACACACACACACACACACACACACACACACACACACACACACACACACACACACAUGCACACGCACACGCACACACACACCUGUCAUUUUUGGGGACUACUUUAAAACAAUAGAUAGACUAAUUUGCAUUUAUUUUCGAAACCUUCACUGUCAUGUAGAUAAGUGAGGCUACUGACUGUGCCUUGUAUUCUGUGUAGUCAGCCCUGGCAAUAAGCUAUUAGCUUACCAUUGGCUUUUUAAAAAAAAAUCAGGAAACGGGUGAGACAUUGUGACAUGACUAAGCAUUAAAGAAUCCAAUCUGAUGACGUUUCCCUUGCAUUUAUGUGUUUUUGUGUGUGUGUCUGUGUCUGUGUGAGAGCAUGCCCCAAUGAAAACCCCCAGGUGUGGAGCAGUGGACACAUUUAAUUAUGAGUGUUUCCUAUCCCUUCCCCAGUGUGUAUAUUCACCAGGUUAGAGUACCAGGGGUUCGGUUCAAAGGCGGACAUACUACUACUGCCUCCCUCUCUGCUUCUUUCACAAACGCACACAUAAAAGGUUUCUGCAGGUGAUAAAUUUAGUUUGUGCGGGGAGCAGAAAAU